CAAUAGCGUAUAUUUAAGUUGUUGCAGUUAAAAAGCUCGUAGUUGGAUUUCGGGUGGGACGCAGCGGUCUCGCAUUGCGUUUGUACUGCUGCAGCCCUCCUUCUUGCCGGGGGCGGCCUCUCGGACUUCACUGUCUGGGGGUCAGAAUCGGCGAUGUUACUUUGAGUAAAUUAGAGUGUUCAAAGCAAGCCUACGCUCUGAAUAUAAUAGCAUGGGAUAACACGACAGGACUCUGGCCUAUCGUGUUGGUCUAUAGGACCAGAGUAAUGAUUAAGAGGGACAGUCGGGGGCAUUCGUAUUCCGUUGUCAGAGGUGAAAUUCUUGGAUUUACGGAAGACGAACAUCUGCGAAAGCAUUUGCCAAGGAUGUUUUCAUUGA
rnacentral:rRNA from 1 species